rnacentral:rRNA from 1 species
AUGUCGUUAGCGGGAUGCCUUGCGAUGCUUUCGUGCGGCCCACUUCCCUUCCGUCUGGUGGCUAGUGGCCAUCGGGUGCGUAAGGUCGGGGAACGUGCCCACCAACGGGGGAUACCUACCCGAAAGCGUACCUCCUCCCGCUUUCGCCCUUCGGGGGAAAGCAGGGGAUCGCACGACCUUGCACUAUUGGAGCGGCCGAUAUCGGGUUAUCUAGUUGGUGGGGGAACGGCUCACCGGGGGGACGAUCGGAAGCUGGGUUGAUAGGACUACCUUCCCCAAUGGGACUGAGACCCGGCCCCUACUCCUACGGGAGGAAGCCGUGGGCGAUUUUGGUAAUGGGGGAAACCCUGAUCCAGCCAUCCCGCGUGUGCGAUGAAGGCCUUCGGGUUGUAAAGCACUUUUGGCAGGAAAGAAACGUCGCGGGCUAAUACCCCGCGGAACUGACGGUACCUGCAGAAUAAGCACCGGCUAACUACGUGCCAGCAGCCGCGGUAAUACGUAGGGUGCAAGCGUUAAUCGGAAUUACUGGGCGUAAAGCGUGCGCAGGCGGUUCGGAAAGAAAGAUGUGAAAUCCCAGAGCUUAACUUUGGAACUGCAUUUUUAACUACCGGGCUAGAGUGUGUCAGAGGGAGGUGGAAUUCCGCGUGUAGCAGUGAAAUGCGUAGAUAUGCGGAGGAACACCGAUGGCGAAGGCAGCCUCCUGGGAUAACACUGACGCUCAUGCACGAAAGCGUGGGGAGCAAACAGGAUUAGAUAC